CGAAGAAAGGAGAGAGAGAGAUCGACAGAAAAGAGAGAGAAAUAGAGAGACAGAGAUGGAGAGAAGGGCGCCACCCAGAUCUUCUGCCAUCACCGUAUUCCCAAUCAAAAGUUCAAACUCACUCUAAUUUCAGUUUCUCCUCCUAUGAAUACUCUCUCUUUUCGCUUCCUUUUGAAUUUUCUUAACACCAACACUUGCGAUACGGAGAUAGAGAAGGAGGAAAAAAAAAAGCUUGCGAUACAAAGCUGAGAAGGAGACAGAGUUCGUACCCGCCACCGUCCGUUCCCCUACCAAAAUUAUACCACCAGAACCGGCACCGAUAACCUAAAGGUAUAUGCAGGAAUUGACAUACGGACAUAGAGAGAACUACCACCGGUUUGGAGAGGGCAAAGACAGAGAAAUAAGAGAGAACGUGAGUUCGUUAUUCAAAAAGAGCAUUGGUAACCAGAGAAAUCAAACAUCUUCCUAUCAGAACACCACAAGAAAUCAAUGACAACUUGGAGUAAGUUCAGAGGCUGAAGGAAGAAGUGGUGAAGUUGCUAUUGGCUCCCAUUGAUAAACCUUCACAAAAGUUGGAAUUAAUUGAUGCAAUCAAAUGCUUGGGUGU